AGUUAAGGUCUGAGGACCCAUUAGUGGAUGAUGGACUACCUGAAGUCAAUCCUGGAUUCUUGGGUGAAGGUUCCAUCAGGGGCCAGACCACGUGUCCACACCCAAUUUGCAGCUACUUUUUGGCCCCUCACAUACUUUUUCUUCCCACUUGAAGCCUCCUCACCUCUCAAAAAAUCCCAUCAAUCCUCAUUCAUCAGGACACAGUAUACAUCAGCCGAGAGUUCAGACUCUCACAUUCAGUGAUCGGCCCCAAGAAGCUUGGGCGGGCCAUGGAAUUCCAAUCCCCUCUUCCCUCUUCAGUUGAGCUCUCUACAUCAGCCAUUAAAGCAUCACUGGCAACUGAAGACCCUUAUUUUACCCCAGAUCAACCUCAUAUUCUGGACUGGGGCUUUCCAGACAACUGACCUUCAUCAUCUUCCCCGCAGAUGUGGACUCCAGCAUCUGGCCAUUGAACAGAUCACAGCGUGUUCGUUGCCCUGGGAGGCUUCAGUCCAACCAUUCUAUCCAGAAGGAGGUUUGCUUUAAUUUAGAGCAGACCCUCUUCCAUUCAGUGAGUACAGGAGAUCUACU